rnacentral:rRNA from 1 species
UACAGAGGGUGCGAGCGUUGUUCGGAAUUACUGGGCGUAAAGAGCGCGCAGGCGGUCGAUCAAGUCGAGUGUGAAAGCCCCCGGCUCAACUGGGGAGGGUCAUUCGAUACUGAUCGACUCGAAGGCAGGAGAGGGUAGUGGAAUUCCCGGUGUAGUGGUGAAAUGCGUAGAUAUCGGGAGGAACCCCAGUGGCGAAGGCGACUACCUGGCCUGUAACUGACGCUGAGGCGCGAAAGCGUGGGGAGCAAACAGG